rnacentral:rRNA from 1 species
AGAGUUUGAUCCUGGCUCAGGACGAACGCUGGCGGUGUGCUUCACACAUGCAAGUCGAACGAGGUAGCAAUACCUAGUGGCGGACGGGUGAGUAACGCGUGGGAACGUGCCCUUUGGUUCGGAAUAUUCCCGGGAAACUGGGAGCAAAACCGGAUAAGCCCUUCGGGGGAAAGUUUACGCCAAAGGAUCGGCCCGCGUUAGAUUAGGUAGUUGGUGGGGUAACGGCCUACCAAGCCUACGAUCUAUAGCUGAUCUGAGAGGAUGAUCAGCCACACUGGGACUGAGACACGGCCCAGACUCCUACGGGAGGCAGCAGUGGGGAAUCUUGGACAAUGGGCGCAAGCCUGAUCCAGCCAUGCCGCGUGGAUGACUGAAGGCCCUAGGGUUGUAAAGUCCUUUCGACGGGGACGAUAAUGACGGUACCCGUAGAAGAAGCCCCGGCUAACUUCGUGCCAGCAGCCGCGGUAAUACGAAGGGGGCUAGCGUUGUUCGGAUUUACUGGGCGUAAAGGGCGCGUAGGCGGAUUUUUAAGUCGGGGGUGAAAUCCCGGAGCUCAACUCCGGAACUGCCUUCGAUACUGAAAGUCUGGAGCACGGUAGAGGUGAGUGGAAUUCCGAGUGUAGCGGUGAAAUGCGUAGA